CCUACGGGUGGCUGCAGUGAGGAAUAUUGGUCAAUGGACGAGAGUCUGAACCAGCCAAGUAGCGUGAAGGAUGACUGCCCUAUGGGUUGUAAACUUCUUUUAUAUGGGAAUAAACUGUUCCACGUGUGGGAUUUUGUAUGUACCAUAUGAAUAAGGAUCGGCUAACUCCGUGCCAGCAGCCGCGGUAAUACGGAGGAUCCGAGCGUUAUCCGGAUUUAUUGGGUUUAAAGGGUGCGUAGGUGGAGUGUUAAGUCAGUUGUGAAAGUUUGCGGCUCAACCGUAAAAUUGCAGUUGAAACUGGCAGGCUGGAGUAGAGGAGAGGUGGGCGGAAUUCGUGGUGUAGCGGUGAAAUGCUUAGAUAUCACGCAGAACCCCGAUUGCGAAGGCAGUUCACUGGACUGCAACUGACACUGAGGCUCGAAAGUGUGGGUAUCAAACAGGAUUAGAUACCCCUGUAGUC
rnacentral:rRNA from 1 species